rnacentral:rRNA from 1 species
GACGAACGCUGGCGGCGUGCUUAACACAUGCAAGUCGAACGGAAAGGCCCUGCUUUUGUGGGGUGCUCGAGUGGCGAACGGGUGAGUAACACGUGAGUAACCUGCCCUUGACUUUGGGAUAACUUCAGGAAACUGGGGCUAAUACCGGAUAGGAGCUCCUGCUGCAGGGUGGGGGUUGGAAAGUUUCGGCGGUUGGGGAUGGACUGGGGGCUUAUCAGCUUGUUGGUGGGGUAGUGGCUUACCAAGGCUUUGACGGGUAGCCGGCCUGAGAGGGUGACCGGCCACUUUGGGACGGAGAGACGGCCCAGACCCCUACGGGAGGCAGCAGGGGGGAAUAUGGCACAGGGGGGGGAAGCCUGAUGCAGCAACCCCGGGUGCGGGAUGACGGCCUUCGGUUUGUACACCGCUUCCGCCUGUGACGAAGCGUGAGUGACGGUAAUGGGUAAAGAAGCACCGCCUAACUACGUC